rnacentral:rRNA from 1 species
GACGAACGCUGGCGGCGUGCUUAACACAUGCAAGUCGAACGGAAAGGCCCUGCUUUUGUGGGGUGCUCGAGUGGCGAACGGGUGAGUAACACGUGAGUAACCUGCCCUGGCCUUUGGGAUAACUUCAGGAAACUGGGGCUAAUCCCGGAUAGGAGCUCCUGCUGCAGGGUGGGGGUGGGAAAGUUUCGGCGGUUGGGGAUGGACUCGCGGCUUAUCAGCUUGUUGGUGGGGUAGUGGCUUACCAAGGCUUUGACGGGUAGCCGGCCUGAGAGGGUGACCGGCCACAUUGGGACUGAGAUACGGCCCAGACUCCUACGGGAGGCAGCAGUGGGGAAUAUUGCACAAUGGGCGGAAGCCUGAUGCAGCAACGCCGCGUGCGGGAUGACGGCCUUCGGGUUGUAAACCGCUUUCGCCUGUGACGAAGCGUGAGUGACGGUAAUGGGUAAAGAAGCACCGGCUAACUACGUG